rnacentral:rRNA from 1 species
CAGCGCCGAUGAUAGUGCGGGUUCCCGUGUGAAAGUAGGUCACCGCCAGAC